rnacentral:rRNA from 1 species
GAUGAACGCUGGCGGCGUGCUUAACACAUGCAAGUCGAACGGUGAACACGGAGCUUGCUCUGUGGGAUCAGUGGCGAACGGGUGAGUAACACGUGAGCAACCUGCCCCUGACUCUGGGAUAAGCGCUGGAAACGGCGUCUAAUACUGGAUAUGUGACGUGACCGCAUGGUCUGCGUUUGGAAAGAUUUUUCGGUUGGGGAUGGGCUCGCGGCCUAUCAGCUUGUUGGUGAGGUAAUGGCUCACCAAGGCGUCGGCGGGUAGCCGGCCUGAGAGGGUGACCGGCCACACUGGGACUGAGACACGGCCCAGACUCCUACGGGAGGCAGCAGUGGGGAAUAUUGCACAAUGGGCGCAAGCCUGAUGCAGCAACGCCGCGUGAGGGAUGACGGCCUUCGGGUUGUAAACCUCUUUUAGCAGGGAAGAAGCGAAAGUGACGGUACCUGCAGAAAAAGCGCCGGCUAACUACGUG